CUGAAGUCAAGCUGUACUUGCAGUUCAUUUAGGAAACGAUCAAUGCCUAGAUUGUGGUUUGCUUGCUUAACACCUGCUUUGUUGCAUUUAUGCAUGCUAAUAUGAGAAUUUCUAGGGAUGCACUACAAUACAUGACUGAGUACAGCAAGAAGAUGUGACAUAAGUGGUCUAAUGUGAAUUGUGAAUUCCCUCUUUCUCUCAGACUACUUCACUGUCAUACUUUCUGUCCCUUUACUGUUACACGACAUGAAGACUGUGCAGGUAUUGUUGUGCCGAACUAAUGUGCAAACUUUUCCAAGUGUAAGCUCACUCCUCUAAUUGAAGGGACCUGCAGACAGUCGCUUGCCUGCAUUUUAGGUAACCGGAGCUUUAAAUGCAGCCUGGGCCCUCCUCCAAAAACUGCUCUCUAUGAACUAUAGUAACCUCAUCACAGCUGCUUUCAAUUACAACACAGAGGCAGAGAGCAGGGAGAAAGAGAGACUGACAGAGAAGGCACCAUAGUUUGGGGUUCAGAAGGAAAGAAAUACAAAUUUUGGGGGAAGUUGGAGGGUGACAGAGUCCAAAAAGUGCCAAAGCAGAAUCAUCUAGAGACUUGUGAUGAAUGGAAAGAUUUUCCUUGGAAGAGAUCCAUAUCCAAGCUGGUGAGGCAACACAUCUUCUAACCCGCAGAAACCUACAGACAAGACUUCCAGUUUGCUGUGGAAAAAACAAUGAUAGUGCGGUACAGCCAGACCAUUCUGCAGAGCAAACACAGCACUGUCGAGAGAGGACUGGAUAUGCAAGACCAGGCACUGCCAAGAGGACGACAGCUGAAGCCAACACAAAAGCACUAGCAUGUCUCUGGGAGGCUGUUUCCUGUUUGUAGAAGAAGAAGGAGAGAUUUCCUCAGAGCGGCUGCUUGCUGGACACAGUGUUCUGCCUUCGCACAAUCACAGGAACCCAGGGGGCAGCGGAGAGGGCCUUGUUGCACUCCAAGCUUUUUGCAGAUACACAAGCAGCCACAAACUUAAUGGACAAAACAGAGUGUGCUUGCUCACCCUAAAUCCAACCGCUACCAGAUCACUCAUUCAGAUGGGCAUGUAUAUGAGUGCACGAGGGAUUAACCCUACUUGUGCAUGCACACGAGCAGGCAACUACUGCAUGCACACACAUAUCCAAAUGUCUGUUUUUUGCAUUACACUCCCUCCAGUUUUAAUUUACUGCUGGUACAGUGCAGAGAGGAAAUUCUGAGUAUUCCAGCUGCCCUCCUUCUACUGGUAUUGAGUUCUGGCUGCAGCAACAUUACUGGAGCAGAUUCUCUCAGCAGACCUUGAUGAUAGUGUGACCAUCAAAUAAACACUGAAUCGACGGCAAAAUGGCAAUUAAUCAGUCUAGUGCAUGCUAGACUAUUAGAGGUUGGCUAGCAAAGUAGCCAACCUCCUAAUGUCUGUUAGCUUCUCAUACUUUGUCUGCCUCUGUGUUAUUAGUUUCAAUUUCUGUUAAUUUAUUGCUUUUCAGUUCGUCCUUUUACCAUUAAGUAUAUAAUAUGGAAAAAAUAAUAAGUAAUGCUUUGACUCCAAAAUAACCUCUAACAGUGAGUACUCCUUUAAAAAUAGUCAAUGGCUAAAACAUCAGGUUUUAAUGAAAAACAUAUAAUGAUUUGAUCACUUGUUUGUUCUGUAUUAUGGGAUUUAUUUUGGAUUAUACCAAGCGCAGAAACAAGGAAGAUUUGUACAUGAGGAGGUGAUUAUUUACUUAACCUUCCUGUUGUCCUCAUUUACAGGCACCAAAAAUAUUGUUUCCUGUCUGACAAAAAAAUCCAAAAAUUCAGCAAAAAAAAAAAAAUCCCAAAUUUCUAAAAAUUUGCAAAGCUUCCAGGAAGAAAAUUCCAAUAAUUCCUUGAAAGCUUCCCUUAAAAACUUUAUUUAAAAAAUCCCCCAAAUUUGGCAAGAGAAUUCUUGUAAAUAUUUUCAAAAAAUGACUAAAAAUCUUCCA